UACCGCCCUGCAGGCAAAGACAAACACAAUACAUAUAUAUAUAUGUGCAUAGAUUUGCGUUCUUUGGAGAAAGGCACUUUAGUCGAAUCCUUAUCAACAUUUUCUGUUUCGAUACUAAAGACGAUGACGAAAUGCAACCCGAAUCGGGCUUUACUACGACCACAAGGAACGAGAUCCGUUGACACUUUUUUCACGAUAUUCUGGUCACCGAGUUAUAUCACUGAACAGUAGAUGCAUCAUAAUAAGAGACUGAAAAAAUGGCGAACAUAAAAGAG